rnacentral:rRNA from 1 species
CAGCGCCGCGGUAAUACGUAGGGUGCAAGCGUUAAUCGGAAUUACUGGGCGUAAAGCGUGCGCAGGCGGUCCGCUAAGACAGAUGUGAAAUCCCCGGGCUUAACCUGGGAACUGCAUUUGUGACUGGCGGGCUAGAGUAUGGCAGAGGGGGGUAGAAUUCCACGUGUAGCAGUGAAAUGCGUAGAUAUGCGGAGGAACACCGAUGGCGAAGGCAGCCCCCUGGGCCAACACUGACGCUCAUGCACGAAAGCGUGGGGAGCAAACAGGAUUAGAUACCCGUGUAGUCCCUGUCUCUUAUACC